UACGUAGGGUGCGAGCGUUAAUCGGAAUUACUGGGCGUAAAGCGUGCGCAGGCGGUUCGUUGUGUCGGUGGUGAAAGCCCCGGGCUUAACCUGGGAAUGGCCAUGGAAACUGGCGAACUGGAGUGUGGCAGAGGGGGUGGAAUUCCGCGUGUAGCAGUGAAAUGCGUAGAGAUGCGGAGGAACACCGAUGGCGAAGGCAGCCCCCUGGGCUAACACUGACGCUCAGGCACGAAAGCGUGGGGAGCAAACAGG
rnacentral:rRNA from 1 species